rnacentral:ncRNA from 2 species
AUCGCCCGCGACUUAAUAGGGGUGAGUGUAUCACUCACGAUUCUGGGAAAUUGGUGCAAAGCCAAUACUGCCCCCGCAACGGUAAGUUCAGUUAAACGUCAGUUCAAAAACCACUGUGCCUAAAUCGCAUGGGAAGGGAACUUGAUGAGGAUAAUUAUCAUUAUUCGCUGACAAGUCCGGAUACCGACCUAUUAAGGGUGUACUGU